CCUACGGGUGGCUGCAGUGGGGAAUAUUGCACAAUGGGCGCAAGCCUGAUGCAGCCAUGCCGCGUGUGUGAAGAAGGCCUUCGGGUUGUAAAGCACUUUCAGCGGGGAGGAAGGCGUUAAGGUUAAUAACCUUGUCGAUUGACGUUACCCGCAGAAGAAGCACCGGCUAACUCCGUGCCUGCAGCCGCGGUAAUACGGAGGGUGCAAGCGUUAAUCGGAAUUACUGGGCGUAAAGCGCACGCAGGCGGUCUGUCAAGUCGGAUGUGAAAUCCCCGGGCUCAACCUGGGAACUGCAUUCGAAACUGGCAGGCUAGAGUCUUGUAGAGGGGGGUAGAAUUCCAGGUGUAGCGGUGAAAUGCGUAGAGAUCUGGAGGAAUACCGGUGGCGAAGGCGGCCCCCUGGACAAAGACUGACGCUCAGGUGCGAAAGCGUGGGGAGCAAACAGGAUUAGAUACCCUUGUAGUC
rnacentral:rRNA from 1 species